rnacentral:rRNA from 1 species
UACGAAGGGGGCGAGCGUUGUUCGGAUUUACUGGGCGUAAAGGGCGCGCAGGCGGCUUUGUUUGUCAGGCGUGAAAGCCCCGGGCUUAACCUGGGAACUGCGUUUGAUACGGCAGGGCUAGAGUUCGGGAGAGGAGAGUGGAAUUCCCGGUGUAGCGGUGAAAUGCGCAGAUAUCGGGAGGAACACCAGUAGCGAAGGCGGCUCGCUGGGCCAUUCCUGACGCUGAGACGCGAAAGCUAGGGGAGCGAACAGG